UUAACCAGGUUUUCCGAAGGAAAAAACUGGUUAUUAGAUUGGCGAAUGCGGGCGGGCUGGCUGGCUGGCGGGCUGGCUGGCUGGCGGGCUGGCGGAAUAAGCUUGUCCGGGCCAUAACUAUGUCGUUCAUUGUCAGAUUUUAAAAUCAUUUGGCACAUUUGUUCACCAUCAUUGGACGGUGUGUCGCGCGAAAUAAUUACGUCGAUAUCUCCAAGGUCAAGGUCACACUUUGAGUUCAAAGGUCAAAAAUGGCCAUAAAUGAGCUUGUCCUGGCCAUAACUAUGUCAUUCAUUGUGAGAUUUUAAAAUCAUUUGGCACAUUUGUUCACCAUCAUGGGACGGUGUGUCCCACGAAAGAAUCACGUCAAUAUCUCCAAUGUCAAGGUCGCCACGACUAAAAAUAGAUUUAAAAAAAAAAAAAAAAUUACAAAGGGGGUUAAUUUUUUUUGGUCAUUUCAAAAGUUCA